rnacentral:lncRNA from 1 species
UGCUAUUCUUGUGACAGUGAGUGAGUUCUCAAGAGAUCUGACAGUUUUAUAAGGGUCUUUUCCCCUUUUGCUCAGCACUUCUCCUUCCUGCCUGCCACCAUGUGAAGAAGGAUGUGUUUGCUUCCCCUUCCACCAUGACUGUAAGUUUCCUGAGGCCUCCCCAGCCAUGCUGAACGCAGCCUCAGCACCCCCUGGGAGCUCGAGACAUCUAAGGAGUUGACUGAGGCCCCUCCCUGACAUACUGAAGCGGAAUCUGCAUUUUAGCAAGAUCUGCAGACAGACUGCGGAACUGCCCAUGAGGCCAAGCACCUAUUAGUAGACCAAGAAGCAUCACCCAUCCAUGGCCUAAGUCGGCAGCCAGCUAUUGUUCUCAUCUGAGUCUGGGAGUUCAGGAUUUCCAUCCUGACCCGGCUACUUUCUUUCAACAGUUACCCACUGUAAAUUUCCGAAUACUUUCAGCUACUAAUCCCAGUGUACCCAAUUAAAAAUGGCUUUCCUAAUAAAGGCAUUUCAGAUCGAAUUUA